rnacentral:rRNA from 1 species
UACAGGGGGGGCAAGCGUUGUUCGGAAUUACUGGGCGUAAAGGGCUCGUAGGCGGCCAACUAAGUCCGACGUGAAAUCCCCAAGCUUAACUUGGGAACUGCGUCGGAUACUGGAUGGCUUGAAUUCGGGAGAGGGAUGCAGAAUUCCAGGUGUAGCGGUGAAAUGCGUAGAUAUGACAUAGAACACCAAUUGCGAAGGCAGCUUACUACAGGAACAUUGACACUGAUGCACGAAAGCGUGGGGAUCAAACAGG